rnacentral:rRNA from 1 species
CGAACGCUGGCGGCAGGCCUAACACAUGCACGUCGAACGAAGUCUUCGGACUUAGUGGCGCACGGGUGAGUAACACGUGGGAAUAUACCUUACGCUGGGGGAUAACAUCGGGAAACUGAUGCUAAUACCGCAUACGCCCUUCGGGGGAAAGAUUUAUCGGCGAAAGAUUAGCCCGCGUCCGAUUAGCUAGUUGGUGAGGUAAUGGCUCACCAAGGCUCCGAUCGGUAGCUGGUCUGAGAGGAUGACCAGCCACACUGGGACUGAGACACGGCCCAGACUCCUACGGGAGGCAGCAGUGGGGAAUAUUGGACAAUGGGCGCAAGCCUGAUCCAGCCAUGCCGCGUGAGUGAUGAAGGCCUUAGGGUUGUAAAGCUCUUUCACCCACGACGAUGAUGACGGUAGUGGGAGAAGAAGCCCCGGCUAACUUCGUG